CACGUAGGGCGCGAGCGUUGUCCGGAAUUAUUGGGCGUAAAGAGCUCGUAGGCGGCCUGUUGCGUCCGCUGUGAAAGCCCGGGGCUUAACCCCGGGUCGGUAGUGGAUACGGGCAGGCUAGAGGUAGGUAGGGGAGAAUGGAAUUCCCGGUGUAGCGGUGAAAUACGCAGAUAUCAGGAGGAACACCGGUGGCGAAGGCGGGUCUCUGGGCCGAUACUGACGCUGAGGAGCGAAAGCGUGGGGAGCGAACAGG
rnacentral:rRNA from 1 species